AGUCCUGUAGUAAAGUUUACGUUAGAUUGCAAAUCUCUCAACGGAGCAUAAAGGUUCUCCCGGGGCUU
rnacentral:tRNA from 1 species